rnacentral:lncRNA from 1 species
CCUUUUUACCUUGUUGGAAACACCUGCUCCUGGGUUAUAAACAGGGAGGAAAGCAAGUGAAGAGGAAGUAAAGUUAUAACUUUCACUCCUAUUUGUCCCGAGUUUUUUAAAAGGACGAAAGCAAGUGAAAAUGGAGGCAAUUAUAACAUAGUUUCACUCCAAAACUUUCACUUUAAAAGUGGGAUGAAAGUGAAAGUUCAUUGGCUUUCACUUACUUCCUCUUACUUUCUCUCCUAAAAAAACUCGGAAGCAGGGCCUAACUAAAUCUUCUUUUUGUUGCAACUGAAAUGCAGUAAAACCAUGCACUCGCAUGCAAAUCAGCUAGCAGAGCUAGAACAAAUGGUGGCCCGGAUGGUUUUCAAGAGUUAUGGUGUGGAGAAACACUACGAGUCCCAUGUUAACUCAAUGGAUUAUCUUCUACGAGUUAUGAAAUAUAGGCUACCACAGAAGGAGGAGAGUAAUGUUGGUGCUCAUGUACAUACAGAUAAGAGCUUCAUAACAAUACUUCAUGAGAAUCAAGUUGGUGGGCUGGAAAUUAAAACCAAGGCUAAUGAAUGGAUUGCAAUGAGAAUUCCACCAUUUUGUUACUUAGUCAUGGCUGGCGACGCUUUGCUGGUGAGUCACAAUCUUCCUUCACAUAUUAGAAAAAAUAAAUAUACUCUAUUAAACAAGGACGGAUCUAGAAUGAUAUUUGCCGGUGUCACGAUUAGGGGAGACACAUGUACCCCAGCUUCUUACUAGAUCCAUUCAUGUUCAAGAAUGAAAUAAAUGAUCUUAAAACAUUAACCAUGGACUUGUGUUUUAUAUGUUGGGAGCAGGCAUGGAGCAAUGGCAAAAUACACUCUGCAUUUCAUCAAGUGAUCAUCAAAGGAGAAAAGCAGAGAUUUUCGGUGGGGCUAUUUUCUUUCGUGAAUGGGAUAAUAGAGGCACCAGAGGAACUCGUGGACAAAGAACACCCUCGACAGUACAAGCCAUUUCAUCAUUACGAUUUAAUGGAUUUUUAUGCCAACGAUGAAGACAAUAAAACAGAGUGUACCAUGCAGGCUUUUCGUCUGUGAAUUCACUCUUUAAAUUUGUAGCACAACUAAUGUUUUUGUAUGAUUUUUAUUUUAUAUUUUACUAUGUGAUCAGCACUGUAUGUUCAUAAUUCACCAAAACUUUAUACAAACUAGGCAAACAUCAAAGCUAAUGGUCAAUCGAUCAGCUAUGUAAUUACGCUAUAGAAGAAUAAAUAAUAUUUAAACCAGGAAGUACCUUGAUGGCCGGAAAUUUUAUAGAAAAUCUCCAUAUUCGUCAUCUCUUUUUUUUUCCAGCUUCUUCUUUUCUUUCCCUUUUUUCUUUCCUUUAUUUCUUCCGGAAGAUACCUAUCAUAAGGUUGCGUUAGUUUCUAGUACAAAUUAUAUUCAUUACUUACACUCAACAAAUAUAAUAUUUGCAUUAUGAGUACGCAUUAUACAAUCGUGUUUGUAUCUUACUCGUUAUAUUCUUGCAUUAUACGGAUAUAGUAUUACGAAAUUAUAUAAUCAUUUUUCUAGUGUUUUCAUGGGCACAAAAUAAUUAUUACUAUUAAUUUUGAUGUUAGAUUGUUAUUGUUUCGAUCUCAUUAAUAAUAAUGAUAUGAGUACUCACAAAGAUAUCCAUCAAUAAAACUCUACAAUAUAAAGUACAAGACUGAGCAACUGAGGUGAUUUUAAGGGGGAAAGGUGAAUAAAUUACUUUUGCUGAUUGGGCAAUUGAAACAGUGGCUGCUACUAUAGCCAACCUAAGAAGCCAGCUUACUGGAAGCUUGAUACAAUUAGCUUGCUUCGUUUCAGUAAGAAAAUAACUUGGCGAGAAUGUAGCUUAUAAGAGGCCUGGUGCAACUGGUGCAAUUAGUUUGGUUUUUCUUAUUUUGUUUGUUCAACCAUGGAAAUUGGAAGUUAAUACAUCCGUAAUACAGAAGGAGAAGUUACCUGAUUUCAGUGAAAUAAUAGCACUCCCUCCGCUGAAGGACUAUGAUUUAUCCACGCCUCAGGCCCAGCCAAAGCCACAGACUCAACAGAUAACUGAAGACCUAGUAAAUUUAAGGGAUGAUACAAUGUUAGUUGAAGUUCAAGGCAACAAACUGGCAUUAGCUUUGUUUGUGAGAAGCUACUGCAGUAGAAGGGUUUAUGUUAGCAAAAUUACCCAUUUAACCCUCUGCUUAAUUAAAAAAAUUUGGAAAUAUCUAACGUCUGUUAGUGCGGGUGCUAAAAUUUUUAAACAUGAGUCAUGCGGGUGCCUAUUAUUAAAACUUAGGUAUUUUUGUGCAAACAAAUUAUAACUGAGGCCAUCUUACUGCAAUUAAGUUGAUAAAUUAUUUAUUUGUAAUUGAGUACGCCUCAAUUUUAUCAUGAAAAGCAAAUACAAUAGCCAAAUCUCCGACGUGUCAGAUUGCUUUGACACUUUGAUGAUAGCAGCCAUUGUAAACACACACCUAUCGAUGUUAGACUUGUUGGAGCCAUAAGGUGUAAAUUAGGUCUGCUACUUGCAUAAUCUAAAGAAACAAUAGGAAUGUAUCCGGCUGCAAAAACCGAAUUAUAGAAGCUUAAAAUACAAGACUAACUCUGUAUUUAGAGAUUUUAAUACAUCAUAUCAUGCGAAUGGGAAAAAUAUUUUCUAAUUUAACCUAUACCUAAUCAAAGUUCAAUAUCCCAAAUAUUAACUUUUUUAAAGUGUAACCAAACCCAACCUCGCCAAAUCAUAAAAGGCAAAACACAAACAACACGCAUUCCUCAUUAAAUUUUGUAAUGUUAUGUAAAGACAAUCAAUAUGAUUACAAAAGUUACCAUUUUGGCUAUAUCUUAGGUUGUAGUUUGUACCUUCAGGUGGGAGAUCCUCCUUAGCAAGGAAGAAGCAGCUGAUGAUCUAGCUCUUGGAAAGGGAGAGAAGAGGUUAGUAAAACAUUAUACAAUUCUGCCAUCAAGUAAGCAAUCGAAUGACUACACCUGAAAAUGACCUCAAAUAAACUUAUUAGUACAAGGAAAAUUGUGUACCAUUGCUGCCAC